CGGGGUGAGUAACGCGUGGAUAACCUGCCUCACACUGGGGGAUAACAGUUAGAAAUGGCUGCUAAUACCGCAUAAGCGCACAGUACCGCAUGGUACGGUGUGAAAAACCCAGGUGGUGUGAGAUGGAUCCGCGUCUGAUUAGCCAGUUGGCGGGGUAACGGCCCACCAAAGCGACGAUCAGUAGCCGGACUGAGAGGUUGACCGGCCACAUUGGGACUGAGACACGGCCCAG
rnacentral:rRNA from 1 species